rnacentral:rRNA from 1 species
GGCCCAGACUCCUACGGGAGGCAGCAGUGGGGAAUAUUGCACAAUGGGGGAAACCCUGAUGCAGCGACGCCGCGUGGGUGAAGAAGCGCCUCGGCGCGUAAAGCCCUAUCGGCAGGGAAGAAGGAGGACGGUACCUGACUAAGAAGCCCCGGCUAACUACGUGCCAGCAGCCGCGGUAAUACGUAGGGGGCAAGCGUUAUCCGGAUUUACUGGGUGGAAAGGGGGCGCAGACGGCAGCGCAAGCCAGGAGUGAAAGCCCGGGGCCCAACCCCGGGACUGCUCUUGGAACUGCGCGGCUGGAGUGCAGGAGGGGCAGGCGGAAUUCCUGGUGUAGCGGUGAAAUGCGUAGAUAUCAGGAGGAACACCGGUGGCGAAGGCGGCCUGCUGGACGGCGACUGACGUUGAGGCCCGAAAGCGUGGGGAGCAAACAGGAUUAGAUACCCCGGUAGGA